AGCAGAGGGGUCAAGCUCUUGAGUUCUUACAGUGACAAUUACAUGCUUUAGCCUGCGUGAGUUACAAGUUACUUUUACUCAGUGGCCAUAGCUAGCUGCAUCCUCCACCCAACCAAAGGUAGUCAGGUAGUGCAAUAUUACCAUUGCCCAGAAGAGUACAAAUUGGAAACAUUUGGGGAAUAACACCAAAGACUACAGUUGUAGGCUGAAUAAUAGCUCACAAAGAUAUCAGGUUCUAAUCCUUGGAAUCUGUAAAUGUUACAUUAUUGGAAAAGAGUCUUUGCCAAUGUGAUUAAGCUAAGGAUCUUAAGAGUGGGAGAUCAUCGAAUUAGGCCCUAAAUGACACAGUAUGCAUCUUUAUAAAAGGAAGGCAGAGAGAGAUUUGACACAGGCAGAAGGGGAGGAGGCAAUGUGACCAUGGAGGUAGAGACUGGAGUCAGGCAGUGAUACAGUUGGUCACCAGAAGCUGAAAGAGGUCUUGCUCUGUCGCCCAGGCUGGACUGCAGUGGUGCAAUCAUGACUCACUGCAGCCUCGAUCUCUACAGCUCAGUUGAUUCUCCCACUUCAGCCUCCUGAAUAGCUGGGACUACAGGCACGUGCCACCACAUCAGGCUAAUUUUUAAAUUUUUUUGUGGUGACAGGGUCUUCCUAUGUUGCACAGGCUGGUCUUGAACUCCUGAUUUCAACAGAUCCUCCCACCUUGGCCUCCCAAAGCAUUGGGAUUAUAGGCAUGAGCCACCAUGCCUGGCCACUAAUGCAGUUUAAAUAUUAGGAAUUUGUUAUAUAAUAUUACAAGAAGUUAAGAGGUAAUUUUCCACAAGUCUGUCUCAGUUGUUCAAUGGUGUCAUCAAAGACCUUCCACUAUGCCAUCUUCAGGGUGCUGGCUCCUGUCAUAUGGGUUGCUUCAAGGUUGCAAAAUGGCUGCUGCAGUUCUAACCAUCACAGUCACUCACAAAUAUUUGCAUGCAAUCAUUCAGUUAGUAAGUAAAUUUUAUGAGACAGUACUAAAUACCAGGCAUUAUUGUAAGCAUGGGAACAUAACCAUAAACAAAACUGAGGAAGUCACUACUCUCAUGAACUCUCAUGGGAACAUAACCAUAAACAAAACUAAGGAAGUCACUACUCUCAUGUACUCUCAGCCUGAGCCGGGCUGGAGUACAGUGGCACAAUCACAACUCACUGCAGCUGUGACCUCCCAGGCUCAAGCCAUCCUCUUGCCCCAGUCUGCCAAGUAGCUGGAAUUGCAGGUGUGCACCAUCCUGCCUGGCUAACUUUUGUGUUUUUUGUAGAGACGAGGUCCCACUAUUUUGACCAAGCUGAUCUGGAACUCCUGGGCUCAAGCAAUCUGCCCACCUCAGCCUCUCAAAGUGCUGGGAUUUCAAGCAUGAGCCACCAUACCUGGCCCUUUUUAUAUAACUUUUAAUCAUGAAGAAAAAUAUUUCUCUGAAGCCACCAAACUUCCUUCAUGGGCCAGCAUUAUGUCACAUGACUAACCCUCCUUAUAAAGGAAGCUGGGAAAGCAAGUCUCCAAAAUUCUCGGCCUCUGUCAUGACAGGUGGUCAUGAUAGAGGAAAGAAGAAGUAAAGGGAACAGCUGCCCAAGAGGCAACCAACAAUAUUUGCUACAAAUCAUGCUAAGCAUAGGUAGUCAUUCAGUAUCUGCUUUUUGAUAAAGCAUUAAGGUUGACAAUUAUUGCCCUGUGGCUGAAAUUUAAUAUUUCUCUCUGAAAGUUUUUGCUUUCUAAGUUUCUGUCACUUAUUCUAACAGCCUUAAUCAUGCAGCAGCUCCAACAUUCUAACAAACAUGCUUUGGAAAUUCACCAAGAAAUGCUGGCUUGCUCCCAGGACUAAGUGAUGGCAUUUAAUUUGCUCACCUGGAAAGAAGGACAAUUCCAGAAAAGACCAUUUCUUCUUGUAUUACUUAUUGGUCAACCAGCAACCUUUAAGCCAAAGCUGUGAAUAUAUAUAAUCUGUCAGCCUUCUCUAUGUGUUCUUCAGGACCAAGCCUCAGUUUCAAACUUCUUUUGUCCAGUGUAACUGCAAGACCCACUUUAGACUCUUCACUUCGCUUCUCCGUGGGCAAUAAAGCAGCAGUUCCAUCACCAUUGUCCAAACAGCAAAUGAGAAGUGAUGUUUCAAUAGAAGCUACUGUCUGGAAAAGAAGAGAAAGAGGCAGCUUUUCUGACAGAGCCGUUCACACUUUUCCUGCACAGCUGGGAGACAUUAGCUGAAUUUCCCCAGACUGGUCUGCUUUCUGGCAUGGUAAAUUAAAAACCCUGAGAGCCUCCAAGCAUUUGAACAGAUCCAUGGACUUUGCUCUGCCUUAGCUGCUUUGAAGCAUUUUAUGAAGAGGAACUGGUUCCAUCUGGGCAUAACUUCAAGUGGAACUAGGAGGCCGUCAGUUUUCUCAUAAUCUCUAAAGAGGUGCUGUGAUAAGAAACGGCCAUUUUCUUGCCAAGUGUCCCUUGUAGGGCAAUAUUCCUUUAUAGUGUGACAUACUGUGUUCCUCUUGGAGUUCAAGAAAAGUUGAUUUUCCUGACUGACAGUUUUACAACUUGGCUGAGAUCAUUCUGCUUGUCGAUACACUUCAGGGCCUGAGGUUAUCUCAAGAUGGCAGAAUGUACCGAGAAUUCAACAUCCUGAGAUAAGGAGGAAAUGCCCAGAACAACCCAAACUGUGUCCUCGUUUCUCCUAGAACAAGAUGUUCUGCAAUGCUUGAGCUCAGCGUGCCAAAUGUCACCCAGGGUAUAUAAACCCAGGGCAGCAUGCUUUUCAGGGUCCCUCAGUUGUGGUGCAACAUGGGGCAUGCACACACGGAACUCCAUCCACCCUGGGCAGCUUUCCUGAGCCUUAGGAAGCUGGCUUGCUCUGGUUUCUAGGCUUCUGUUUAUCCUUGCUGCCUAUAAUAAAUCUGUGAU